AUUGAACGCUGGCGGCAUGCCUUACACAUGCAAGUCGAACGGUAACAGGUCUUCGGAUGCUGACGAGUGGCGAACGGGUGAGUAAUACAUCGGAACGUGCCUAGUAGUGGGGGAUAACUACUCGAAAGAGUGGCUAAUACCGCAUGAGAUCUACGGAUGAAAGCAGGGGAUCGCAAGACCUUGUGCUACUAGAGCGGCCGAUGGCAGAUUAGGUAGUUGGUGGGAUAAAAGCUUACCAAGCCGACGAUCUGUAGCUGGACUGGGAGGACGAUCAGCCACACUGGGACAGAGACACGGCCAAGACUCCUACGGGAGGCAGCAGUGGGGAAUUGUGGACAAUGGGCGAAAGCCUGAUCCAGCAAUGCCGCGUGCAGGAUGAAGGCCUUCGGGUUGUAAACUGCUUUUGUACGGAACGAAAAGCCCCGGGUUAAUACCCUGGGGUCAUGACGGGACCGUAAGAAUAAGCACCGGCUAACUACGUGCCAGCCGCCGCAGUAA
rnacentral:rRNA from 1 species